GGAGACUAGGUAUGCUGGGAUGAGUACUAAAGAAAAGCUCUUGUUUGGCUUAGGAAUAAGAAGAUCAGCAUUUCCUUUCAUGUAGAGAAGGUUUCUAAGGCCUACUUUCUGAUAUCUUCUUACAUAAUAUGGGAUAAUUGCAUCUUUUUAAAAAUAGACCUAAUGCCCUUUGCCUGGGGCUAAAAAGAAAGCCUUUUUGGAGGUGAAUUCGUUCUACUUUUUAAAUCUAUAUCAUAUAAGCUAAGAAUCUUUGCGAGAAGACAAGCUGGCAUGCACGUACUUUUUUCUUUUCCUGUUUUUUUGGAUGGAUGACCCAUCAAAACUUGCCAAAAAUAUAAUUGAAAUAUGCAUUUUCAUCUGAUGGAGGAGUCUAUAAAUUGUUGGGUAAUCUUUUAGAGUUUUCCAAAUCUGGCAGUCUGCUUCAUGCACCAAGAGAGAACAUUCAUGAAGAAAAUGUAUUCUUCACUAGUUACUCAAUGUGAACAAAGAGGCUUCUUCACCCAGCCAAGAACUCAGCUAUAUCCUGCAUACAAGUAAUAGCCAUUAGUAUGUAGAACAACACAGAUUUUUAUCAAAGAUGAAGUGAAACAUGUCAUGUUUGUGUUUGUGGAGGCACUGCCUCCACAAACUGACUAUGUGAGGUCAGUGAAGACAGUUCUCUGAGAUGAGGCCGAAGCUUAAGGUAGGCAGCCAUAAGGAUGGUGGGAAGUGUUAAGAACCCUGCCACUGUUGAGACCAAAUAGGAGUCUGGAUACGCGGAAGAAACCUGCAGGAGACCCAGGGGGAUGUUUGCAACAUAUGGGAAGAAGGAGCUGCCCAAGAAAGGUGGCGCCCUGCUGGGCACCUGUUCUUUAAGGAUAGAAGAGCAACCCCUGAACUAAGAUGUAGUACCUGGAGCUAUGCAGCUUUUCUGUGACCAUGAGGUGAUGGAUGAAGAUGCUGGAACUGACAUCAUGGAGCUGUUGAAGACACACCAAUAACAGUCUACAUUUUGACUUGUAUUGUUUUGUGUGGAAAAAACUAUUUUGUUCAAAUAUUGUAGUUGAAUGCUUUGUUACUUGCAGUUAAAUACAUUCCUAACAAGUAAAGGAGGGAUUAUAACUAUAAUCUUACUAUAACUGUCUAUAUAGCUACUAAUUGAAUAUAUUAUAUUUGAGAAAUAAUAAUUGUGGUAAUCUAACUUGUUAACCCAGUUUUCUCCAACAACAAUCUAAAUUGGUUUAAGAUGGGUCACUAAAUAACAUACAAUAUGGUAAAUAAUGAAAUAAGUAAAUGUCAAAUAGGUGAGCACGACAGAGAAUUAUUGAAAAUGUACUGUAUUUUAUUUCAGAAAUAAAAUUUACUCUGAGUUUUCA